GAUGAAGAACGCAGCGAAAUGCGAUAAGUAAUGUGAAUUGCAGAAUUCAGUGAAUCAUCGAAUCUUUGAACGCACCUUGCGCCCUUUGGCUAUUCCGAAGGGCAUGCCUGUUUGAGUAUCAUGAACACCUCAACUCUCAUGGUUUGCCAUGAUGAGCUUGGACUUUGGGGGUCUUGCCGGCCUAUGGGUCGGCUCCUCUCAAAUUAAUCAGCUUGCCAGUGUUUGGUGGCAUCACAGGUGUGAUAACUAUCUACGCUUGUGGUUUUCCAUCAGGUAACCUUCAGUGAUGGAGGUUCGCUGGGGCUCAUAAAUGUCUCUCCUCAGUGAGGACAGCUUUUUUGAACGUUUGAUCUCAAAUCAGGUAGGACUACCCGCUGAACUUAAGCAUAUCAAAAGCGGAGGA
rnacentral:misc_RNA from 1 species